rnacentral:rRNA from 1 species
AUUCUGGUGUCCUAGGCGUAGAGGAACCACACCAACCCAUCCCGAACUUGGUGGUUAAACUCUACUGCGGUGACGAUACUGUAGGGGAGGCUCUGCGGAAAAAUAGCUCGGCGCCAGGAU